rnacentral:snoRNA from 1 species
UGAUGGUGAUAAGGACAACUUCUGAGCAUGCCCUUGAAUCUCUCCUAAGCUUGGUAGAGAUUUUCUCUAUCUUUCUAUCUUAAACUUAAUAUCCCACUCCUUAAUCG